rnacentral:rRNA from 1 species
AGAGUUUGAUCCUGGCUCAGAUUGAACGCUGGCGGCAUGCCUUACACAUGCAAGUCGAACGGCAGCACGGACUUCGGUCUGGUGGCGAGUGGCGAACGGGUGAGUAAUGCAUCGGAACGUACCUUUCAGUGGGGGAUAACUAUCCGAAAGGAUAGCUAAUACCGCAUAUUCUGUGAGCAGGAAAGCAGGGGAUCGCAAGACCUUGCGCUGAUUGAGCGGCCGAUGUCAGAUUAGCUAGUUGGUGAGGUAAAGGCUCACCAAGGCGAUGAUCUGUAGCGGGUCUGAGAGGAUGAUCCGCCACACUGGAACUGAGACACGGUCCAGACUCUUACGGGAGGCAGCAGUGGGGAAUUUUGGACAAUGGGGGCAACCCUGAUCCAGCCAUGCCGCGUGAGUGAAGAAGGCCUUCGGGUUGUAAAGCUCUUUCGGCCGGGAAAAAAUCGCAUGGGUUAAUACCCUGUGUGGAUGAUGGUACCGGAAUAAGAAGCACCGGCUAACUACGUGCCAGCAGCCGCGGUAAUACGUAGGGUGCGAGCGUUAAUCGGAAUUACUGGGCGUAAAGCGUGCGCAGGCGGUUUUGUAAGACAGGCGUGAAAUCCCCGGGCUCAACCUGGGAACUGCGCUUGUGACUGCAAGGCUAGAGUACGGCAGAGGGGGGGUGGAAUUCCACGUGUAGCAGUGAAAUGCGUAGAGAUGUGGAGGAACACCAAUGGCGAAGGCAGCCCCCUGGGUCGAUACUGACGCUCAUGCACGAAAGCGUGGGUAGCAAACAGGAUUAGAUACCCUGGUAGUCCACGCCCUAAACGAUGUCAACUAGGUGUUGGGAGGGUAAAACCUUUUAGUACCGGAGCUAACGCGUGAAGUUGACCGCCUGGGGAGUACGGCCGCAAGGUUAAAACUCAAAGGAAUUGACGGGGACCCGCACAAGCGGUGGAUGAUGUGGAUUAAUUCGAUGCAACGCGAAAAACCUUACCUACCCUUGACAUGUCUGGAAGGCCGAAGAGAUUUGGCUGUGCCCGAAAGGGAACUGGAACACAGGUGCUGCAUGGCUGUCGUCAGCUCGUGUCGUGAGAUGUUGGGUUAAGUCCCGCAACGAGCGCGACCCUUGUCGUUAAUUGCCAUCAUUUGGUUGGGCACUUUAACGAGACUGCCGGUGACAAACCGGAGGAAGGUGGGGAUGACGUCAAGUCCUCAUGGCCCUUAUGGGUAGGGCUUCACACGUCAUACAAUGGUCGGUACAAAGGGUCGCCAACCCGCGAGGGGGAGCCAAUCCCAGAAAGCCGAUCGUAGUCCGGAUCGCAGGCUGCAACUCGCCUGCGUGAAGUCGGAAUCGCUAGUAAUCGUGGAUCAGCAUGUCACGGUGAAUACGUUCCCGGGUCUUGUACACACCGCCCGUCACA